GCUCGCUUUGGCAAUACACAUGGUAAAACUGGAACAGUACAGAGACGAUUAGCAUGGCCCCUGUGUAAGGAUGACAGGCAGAUUCGUGAAACAUUCCAUUUAAAA